ACCGCGGUAGCCCAGUUGGUAGUGGCCUCGGCAGUACAGAUGCCGACGAAGGUCGCAGGUUGAAAUCCUGCCUGCGGUG